CAUUGUGAGGUGGAAUCUGAAGGAAGCUUUAGGCAAACAUCUGACCCAACGUACAGAAACUUGAUGCCAAGGCUUGUGAGAGUGGAUAAAUCUGCAAAACAAGAUAAAGUUUCUCCGUGAAAUAAAAUCCAUUACCAAACGCAGCAACGGCAAAGGCUUC
rnacentral:ncRNA from 1 species